GACGGGGGGAGCAAGCGUUGUUCGGAUUCAUUGGGCGUAAAGGGUGCGUAGGUGGCGCCGUAAGUCAGGUGUGAAAUUUCGGAGCUUAACUCCGAAACUGCAUUUGAUACUGCGGUGCUUGAGGACUGGAGAGGAGACUGGAAUUUACGGUGUAGCAGUGAAAUGCGUAGAGAUCGUAAGGAAGACCAGUGGCGAAGGCGGGUCUCUGGACAGUUCCUGACACUGAGGCACGAAGGCCAGGGGAGCAAACGGG
rnacentral:rRNA from 1 species